rnacentral:rRNA from 1 species
UUGAACAAUUUAGCUGAUCGCACGUGCUAAGAACCGGGGACAUAUCCUUCAAAUGUCUGCCUUAUCAACUUUCGAUGGUAGAUUAUGCGCCUACCAUGGUUGUAACGGGCAACGGAGAAUCAGGUUUUGAUUCCGGAGAGGGAGCCUGAGAAACGGCUACCACAUCCAAGAAGGGCAGCAGGCACGCAAAUUACCCACUCCCGGCACGGGGAGGUAGUGACGAAAAAUAACAAGCUGGUCUCAAUGAGUUCCGGCAUUGUAAUGGGAACAAUUUAAAUCAUUUAUCGAGGAUCUAUUGGAGGGCAAGUCUGGUGCCAGCAGCCGCGGUAAUUCCAGCUCCAAUAGCGUAUAUUAAAGUUGUUGCGGUUAAAAAG